rnacentral:lncRNA from 1 species
AUCCGGGACCUGCUGAGCCCGGGGCCGCCGUGUGCCCUCCCCCUGCGCUGGAGCAAAACCCGCGGCUUCUACGUGGAGAACCAGCUCAGUGUGGAAUUCGACAGCCUGGAGGCCAUCGUCAGCCUGCUCYUGCAAGGAUCCCGGAGGCGCCGGACCUCGGCCCAUGCCCUCAACAGGCACUCGAGCCGCAGCCACGCCCUUCUGACCAUCCACAUCCGCAGCCGAGCCGUGAGCGCACAUCCUGCUCCUGGGGAGGGCUGGGGGGCUCAGGGCUCAGCGAGGGGGGCCGUGCUCUCCUCAAGGAUACACGGGUGGGGCUGGAGUGAGCAGCCGGGUAUCCUAUCCGAGAUCCAGGAGUUAGGACAGUGUUGUGGGCCAUGGGGAUGGGGUGAUGGGGGUCAAAGCAUCACCCCUCACUGUGGGUUCUCCAGGCUGGUGCCUGCCCCAGCAAGCAGGGCUCUCUGUGCUUUGUGGAUCUGGCUGGCAGCGAGCGGGUGAAGGAGACCGGCUCCAGCGGGGAGCUCUCGGUGGAGGCCAACAGCAUCAACCGCAGCCUCCUGGCACUGGGACACUGCAUCUCCCUGUUGGCCAAACCCCGAGGGAAGAGAACACACAUCCCCUACAGGGACAGCAAGCUCACCCGGCUGCUGGCUCGCUCCCUGGGCGGCUCAGGCAUCACCCUGAUGGUAAAACCAUGGAGGAGGUUGGGCAGGGGUCUCAGCCCGUGGAGGGGAGGGCUGUUAAAGGAUGGUGACCCUCUGGAUGACAGCCCACCUGCAUCUCUUCCUCGUUGGCAGGUCGCCUGCAUCUCCCCGUCCUCACGCUGCCUCUCAGAGACUCUGAGCACACUGCACUACGCCAGCCGUGCCCGGAGAGUCACCAGCAGACCCCUGGCCAACAGGGUGUCCCGGGAGAAGCUGCUGCAAACCUUGGAGCAAGAAAUCCAUGCCCUGCAGCUGGAAAACCUCUCCCUGCGCCAGCAGCUGUGCCUGCCCAGGGUGCCCGUGAGGAGCACGGAGGUGGCAGGGAACCCUCCUAAAGCACGGGCGGGCUCGGGAGACGGGCACGGCACUGCAGGGCAGCUCCCGCCAGAGGGAACCCCAGCCUGGCCCAGCCUCUACGGGCUCCUGCGGGACUUCGUGGUGGAGAACGAGCAGAUGAGGCAGCCCCGGCUGUCCCCAGACCUCAGCGGUCACAUCCCAGCUGGCCCAUCCCGCAGAGCCAGCCGCAGGUCCUGUGACAGCCAGCCCCUGCUCCGGAGUGCCCGCACCCUCCCUGUCCCCCGCAGCCACUCGCUGAGGCACCGGCGGCCCGACACCACACCCAGCUCUGUCCCCCGGCUGCCGGUGAGAGGAGGGGCCUGGGCUCAGCAGUCACACUGCCCAUGGCAGGGUGAGGAUGCACACACCACCCACCCACUGCUGUCCUCUCUUGCAGAAGCUCCCUCCCGCCUCCAGCCGCCCCAGCUGCCCACAGUGCUGCCCUGGGCCAGCUGA